rnacentral:tRNA from 1 species
ACGCCCUCGUAGCUCAGCUGGAUAGAGCAGCGGUUUCCUAAACCGUUGGUCGCAAGUUCGAAUCUUGCCGGGCGUACCA